UCUUAGGUCACCAGGCUCCGCCCGCCUAGCACGUUCACCAUGGCCGGGAGCCUGGACAGCUGCGGCGGGAGGACACCAGCCGGGAGACGCGGGAAGAAGCAUGACAACCUGAACGCUUCCUUUCUGAGCCUCCUGCAGUCCUGGCCAGUGGCACUUAAGGUUCUUCCUGGAAUCUUCCUCUCUGUGAUACAAAAGGAAUAAGAAGAACCCCCUCUCUGGUGCUUACCUACCUCCAGAAGGCUUGCAGACAGCUUAUAAGAAAAAUAAACCCCUAUCUCAGCAGUUUUCAACGUACGUUCUCCAGAACCCUGUGUGACCCAAGACCCUUUCAGAUGGCUUGCAGGGUGGAAACCGUUUUCACAAUAACACUAAAAUGGUAUUUGCCUUCACUAUAUUGACAUUUGCCCAAAUGGUACAAAAGCAACAGUGGGUAAAAUCGCUGGUACAACCUAAAUCAAGCCAGUGGCACCAAAUUGUACUUAGUAGUAACCAUAUUCCUCACUUACAUGCAUUCACACAGUUUAAAAAAAAAGUGUUUCACUUAAGAAUAUUCAUGAUGAUGCUGUAAGAGUUAUUAAUUUAUUAAAUCUCAAACUCUGAGUACAAGUCUUUUGCAUUCUGUACGACAAAAUGGGAAGUUUGCAUAAAGCACUUCUGCUGCAUACUAAAAUACUAUGGUUUUCUUCAGGAAAAACACUGUGCAAUUGUUUGGCUAGCAAGCCAAACUAGCCAUUUUUUCAUGGAACAUCAUUUCUUCCGGAAAGAACAAUUGGCAGAUGAACUGAAUAUUUAGACUUGAGCAUUUGGCAGACAUUUUCUCAGAAAUGAAUAAAUGGAGCCUAUCGAUUCAAGAAAAACAUUACUUGUUGCCUGUGAUAACAUUCAAUCUUUCAAGCAAAAAUUAAAAUUUUGAAAAGCUUAUACUCAGAGCCAUGAGCUCAACAGGUUUUCAGUCAUUAAAACACUUGAGAGCUUG